AUUGAACGCUGGCGGCAGGCUUAACACAUGCAAGUCGAGCGGGGUGAUGGUGCUUGCACUAUCACUUAGCGGCGGACGGGUGAGUAAUGCUUAGGAAUCUGCCUAGUAGUGGGGGACAACAUCUCGAAAGGGAUGCUAAUACCGCAUACGUCCUACGGGAGAAAGCAGGGGAUCACCUGUGACCUUGCGCUAAUAGAUGAGCCUAAGUCGGAUUAGCUAGUUGGAGGGGUAAAGGCCUACCAAGGCAACGAUCUGUAGCGGGUCUGAGAGGAUGAUCCGCCACACUGGGACUGAGACACGGCCCAGACUCCUACGGGAGGCAGCAGUGGGGAAUAUUGGACAAUGGGGGGAACCCUGAUCCAGCCAUGCCGCGUGUGUGAAGAAGGCCUUAUGGUUGUAAAGCACUUUAAGCGAGGAGGAGGCUCUUUUGGUUAAUACCCAAGAUGAGUGGACGUUACUCGCAGAAUAAGCACCGGCUAACUCUGUGCCAGCCGCCGCCGUAA
rnacentral:rRNA from 1 species